UUAAUUCCGGAAUAAACAAAUUCAAACAAAUAUCGCGAUCAAAAACCUAUUCGCAUCAAGCGACGGUUGAAAUAAUUCACUACGUGAGUGUCGGAGAUCUCCUUUAUCGAACCAAUUCGUGCUAUAAUCUUUAUCGUUAUCAUUCGUAUCAGUGUGUGUGCUGCUUCUUCGGGUUUGCUGAGUGACCUGAACCUGUCAAACUACUAUUGGUGAUAAAAAAUGUGGCCUGUGCAAGAUCGCGAUGCGGUUGUUUGUGAGAAAAUCGGCGAUUUGUGUAGAAAUGGGAAUUUAUUUUAUUAUUUUCCUGAUACGUAUCAGUUUAAAAAGGUACCUUUAUAAUCAUUUGAAGUUUUAUUCCCGAAUUCUACCCCAAAAAUCCCAUAUCUCUCAAACAAGCUCAUCAGAGAUGCAAUAUGCUCUGAUAUGAAUUAUGCAAUGCUAUGCUUUUGAGAUCAUGCUUUCAAAUCCGCCGCUGAGAAGACUCCCAGUGAGCGACCAUUCAUGUCGGACACUUCGUAGGAACUCGUUCCCUUCUUCGCGACGAUGAUGCACGGGACGUACGUAGGCCCAAGCUUGGCAUUGAAGGACUUGUUCGCCGCCGACUGCUGGAAGGAUCUCUUAAAGACGCGCUGUCCAACAUCGAACACCGAUCUUCAUCGACCUGCUCAUCAACCACCUCGACGGAUUCCAUCGUUGGCCUGAUGCCGAACUUCUGCCAGAAGUCGUAGCCGAGGAUGCACUUCCUGUUCAGCUUCGGCGCGAUCAUCACGGACAGAAUCUUCGUAACACCAUUGAACGUAAUCGGCGAUUACGCAACGCACGUUCGGCUACGCUGCGCGAUGAAUCAAACGGAAUGUCGCGGAUCUUCAGCUCAUGUUCGAGUUCAUCAACGGUCAAAUGACCCGUAUUCAUCCCGCGAUACAGUGACAACAAAUGGACCAUAUCCAUCUUGGGUGCAAAGAAAAUCAAAGAUUUUGUAAUUAAAAAGAAAAUUAAUUUAAAAAAUACUAGAAAUGAGCAAUCUCAACUACAAAUUAAGAAAAAUACCUAAAAUUGAUUCGCUAACUGAGAUAAUUUGAUAACCUAUUGAAUGAAACUGUUCAUUGAUGAACACCAACUGAUCAACAAUGAAUUGAAAAAA